AACGAACGCUGGCGGCAUGCCUAACACAUGCAAGUCGAACGAGACCUUCGGGUCUAGUGGCGCACGGGUGCGUAACGCGUGGGAACCUGCCUUUAGGUUCGGAAUAACUCAGAGAAAUUUGAGCUAAUACCGGAUGAUGCCUUCGGACCAAAGAUUUAUCGCCUUUAGAUGGGCCCGCGUUGGAUUAGCUAGUUGGUGGGGUAAAGGCCUACCAAGGCGACGAUCCAUAGCUGGUCUGAGAGGAUGAUCAGCCACACUGGGACUGAGACACGGCCCAGACUCCUACGGGAGGCAGCAGUGGGGAAUAUUGGACAAUGGGCGAAAGCCUGAUCCAGCAAUGCCGCGUGAGUGAUGAAGGCCUUAGGGUUGUAAAGCUCUUUUACCCGAGAUGAUAAUGACAGUAUCGGGAGAAUAAGCUCCGGCUAACUCCGUG
rnacentral:rRNA from 1 species